rnacentral:lncRNA from 1 species
CAAGAAGCAAUCGGCGCCCCACCCCUACCCCUAUUCUCUAAGACCUUAGAACCUAGUGUACACAAAAAAGGCAGCCUUCGAUCUUCUUCUCCAAGACUCAAAUUUUCUGGUGGAAACGAUGAGCUACUGAUCUUAAGAAAUUUUUCAUUGUUAACUUCGAAAAUAAAAAAAAACAAAACACAAACACUUUAGCUUCUUUCUCCGUGAUUCUGGUUCCCAACUAUGGAGUUUGAUUGAGCGAAGUUUUUUUUUAAGAGCCGAGGUUGCCGUUCGAGGUGUCAAUUUUGAAUUCGUGAUUUCUACCCGUCUCUCAUCGUUGUCCUCUCAGUUGAAUCUGUGGAGCCAAACUUUCUGUAUUUGCCGAUUUUUAAUCUAUUGAAAGAACUCCAACAGGUCCCCCUAAACUUCCCUCUCUUAUUUUGUUUGAUCUCUCUUUUUGCCAUGUUAUUUUGCGUAUGAUGAUUAAUUCUCCAUGAUACAUGUCCAUAGAAGUAGUUUUGUAUCGUUGCAAUUUGGGGCUAGGAAUCCUAGACUCACUUAGUUGUAAUUACUUUUUUUUUUGUAGAAAAUGGUGUUGAUUUUGGUGUUCGUUGGUUUAUGAUGCAAUCUUCAUUUGAACUAAGCUUGAGGUUUCACCUUAAAGGGAAUAAUCAGUUUCUUUUACAGUCACAUACUUAAAUCAGUAGUAAUAAUAUUUAGUGUUAGUAUUCUGCAUCUUUCCUUUUAAAACUAGAACUUAAGCUUUCAAUAUAUCAGUGGUGGAUUUUUCAACUUUGGGUUGAGUAUGAAUUGUUAAUGUUUAUUAGAUUUAUUUGGAGAAUUGAUGUUUAUUAGUUAAAUUUGUUUUGGUAUUGAAAAUACGUUAGAAUGGCAUCCUAAUAUGAUUUGGUUAAAUUUCUUUAAAUUUUUUAGUGCUUUAGUCCAUUUCUUGUCCCCAUGUAGAUACGUUAAUUUGUCUCUUAUUGACUUAGUUUGUUGAAUAGAUAUGGCAAAGUAAGUUGGUUUUGAUUUGAGUUGAAAGAGCGUUAAGGAAUCUUGCAGCUCAGUUGUGGCGUAGUUGGUUUAAAAUUGACGUGGGAUCGGGACUUAAAUAUUAAAAGACAACGGAAAGAAAUAUUCUUGUUGGGCGCGUUUUAUUUUAUUUAAUUGGUCCGCUAGUAGCAUGUUUAGGCCGACUACUUGGGUAGGCAAUAUUAGGACACUUUAUUAGUUUUCGAGGCGAGAGGUCGUUCCUUUAGUUUAUUAUCUGGGGAAUGCCCCGCGAAAUUUGUAGAUAUUUUUAUCCGGGGUAUGCCCCAAAGCAUUUGUAUUUGGAGGCCGAAAGUAGAACUUGUAGUAUUUUUAUUUUAUUUUUUAUUUUUCAUUUCUCUUUUAUUAGGUAAGGACAACCUCGAGCCUCUUGUGUGUUUAUUCCAUUGUUUUGCCCUAAUUUGAAUAUUUUAAAAGCCAACUAGAUUGAGUACGCAACCGUGACUUUCACGGGACUCGGGGAAUGUCUAACACCUUCUCUCCAAGUUAAAUGAACACCCUUACCCGAUUCUCUGGUGCAAACUUAGUUUUAGAGUCUCAAGUGUUUUAAAAGGAAACAAAAUUAUUUUUAGAAAAACGGUGACCUGACACUUGAAAUCAAUGUCAGGUGGCGACUCUUAGUUAAUCCUUUUGAACACAAAUUUUGUCACAUCCUAAUUGAAAACCCUUUUCAUGCUUUACAAAAAUCUUUUUAUUAAUUUAAGAGGGUUUAGUGAAGUUUGUAAAAAAAUAGGUGUGACAGGGUAUUGCUCCAAGUGUCGCCUAUGAAGGGCGUGAUGAGAUUUGGGAAGAAGGGCAAGCUUAGCCCUAUCAGUCCGUUUGAGAUUCUUGAUCGAGUGGGAGAGGUGGCUUAUAGACUUGCAUUGCCGUCGAUCUUAUCAGCCGUGCAUCCUGUGUUUCAUGUGUCCAUGCUCCAGAAAUAUCACGUCGAUCCAUCCCACGUGUUUGAUUUCAGCACUAUCCAGUUGAACAAGGACUUGUCUUAUGAGGAGGAACCGGUAGCUAUUCUAGACCGGCAGGUUCAUCAGUUGAGGUCGAAGAGUUUUCCUUCUGUUCAUGUUCCGUGGAGAGGUCAGCCUCCUGAGGCACCGACCUAGGAGUCUGAGUCCGAUAUGCGGAGCCGUUAUCCCCAUCUUUUCCCCGACUUAGGUACUUCUUUCUUCUGUCCGUUCGAGGACGAACGAUUGUUUUAGAGGUGGAGAAUGUGAUGACCCAAAAGGAAAUUGUGUGUUCUGAGGCCUUGGAAACCUUAUUUAGAGUCACCUCGAUUUGCGUGCACAGUCCGGGCGCGUAGCUGGAAAGCUUAAAUAUGAUAAUCUAUGAAAAAUGAUAAGUUUUGAUUAUAAAAUGAGCUAAUUUGACUUCGGUCAAUGUUUUGGAUAAACAGACCCGGACCUGUGAUUUGACGAUCUAAGAGGGUCUGUAGGAAAAUAUGGGACUUGGGCGUAUGCCCGAAAUCGAAUUCCGAGGUCCCAAGCCCGAGGAAUGAAUUUUCAAAGGAAAAUUGAUUUCUGGAAUUGUUUAAAGAAAUUUGAAAUGAAAUUUGAUUAGAACAUGAUGGUAUCGAGCCCGUAUUUUGGUUCCGGCGGCCGGUACAGGUCUUAUAUAUGAUUUAAGAUAUUUUUGUGGAAUUUGGUAAAAAUUGGAUGUCAUAUGACGUGAUUCGGACUUAAUUGCAAAAUUUAUGUUUAAAGAAGUUUUGAGAAAUUUCAUUGAUCUCGAGGUUUAAUUUGAUGUUCAUGACGUUAUUUUGGUGAUUUGAUUACACGAAUAAGUCCGUAGGAUAUUCUUGAGAUUUUGUGUGCACUUGGUUUGGAGUUCUGAGGGCUCGGGUGAGUUUCGGGUAGGUUCGAGAUGUUUUAGACUUAAAACCAGAAGUUGCAGGUAUCUGAACCCGCUAAUGCGGUCCUCACAAAAACGUGUGCGACCGCGGAAGAGGGCCAGUAUGGUCCGCGGUCGGCUUUGUGCGGUGCGCGGUGGAGGGUAGUGCGGCCACGGUCCAUUUCGUGCGGUCCGUAUAGGGCACUGGACCGCAGUACAUCAGGAAGGCCUGUGCGGCCGCAAUCCAUUUUGUGCGUCCGCAGUCCAUUUUGUGUGUCCGCACAGGGGGUCUGAGAGGGGUAUAAAUAGACGAGAUUUUCAGUUAUUUUGCAUUUUUCAAAAACCCCAAAAAUAUAAGAGGCGAUUUUUCAAACAACCUUUCUUCUCCAAAUCAAUCGUAAGUCAUUUUUAACUAGUUUACUUCUAUUAUUAACAUCUUUUAACAUGAUUUCAACUUCAAAUCAAUUAUUUUCAUGGGGGAAUUAGGUGUUUUGGUAGAACCUAGGUUUUUUUCAAAAAUUGGGGAUUUGGACCUCGAUUUGAGGCCCGAUUUCAAAACAAAUAACAUAUUUGAGCUCGUGGAGGAAUGGGUAAUCGGUUCGUUCGAACCUCGGGUUUUGACCACGUGGGCCCGGGGGCGAUUUUGACUUUUUGGGUAAAACUUUGGAAAACUAAUUUUCAUGCAUUCAAAUUGAUUCAUUUAGUGUUUAUUGAUAUAAUUAAGUAAAUUGUGACUAGAUACGAGCGAAUUGGCGGUGGAAUCGAGAGGUAAAGCUAUAAUUGAAACUUGAAUUGUGUUCGAGGCAUCGUGAUAAGUGUUUGGUCUAACCUUAGUUUGAGGGAUUUAGGAGUUGAGUCUUAUUUUCUACAUGAUAAUUCUUGAGUACGACGUAUAGGCAUGGUGACGAGUAUCUAUACGUUGGUGUCUAGCAUGACCGUGAGUCUUUAAAUUGUGAAUAUCUUGAUUCCGUUGUAUCUUUCAUGCCUUGGUGAUGAUUUCUAUUUGUUGUGAAAAGCUUGUGGAAGGAAAUUUUGACCUUUGAACAUCGAGGAGUAUUGGCUCAAGUUAUAUUACAAAUUGUGAACGUAUAUGAGAUGAUUGAACCCUUUGGAGCAUUGGCUCAAGUGGUAAAGUGAGUUAUGAAAUAAAAGUUAAAGAAAGAGAAAGAGAUAUUAAAUUGUUCCCUUGUUGGGAUAUUGUUUCUUUGUUGAUUAUCUCCCUUGCCAGGAUGUUGAGAUUAUUGAUGUUGUUCCCUUGCCGGGAUUUAAUUGUUUAAUUGUGUUCCCUUGCCAGGAUUUCUAUUAUUAUUUUGUUUAUUCCCUUGCCCUUUUGUUUGUGAUUGUUGUUUGGGUGAGGAAGAGUGUUAAACCAUGAAGGGUGAUACCGUGCAUUGUUUGUUAUUGUGAGGAAAGAGUGUAAAGCACGAAGGGUGAUGCAGUGCCGCACAACAUACCAUUCAGUGCCGAUUCUAUUGAUUAUAUGGUGAGGAAAGAGAGUAAAAGCACGAAGGGUGAUGCCGUGCAUAUUUUGAUUAUAUGAUUGUUUUGGUGAGGACGAGAGUAAAAGCACGAAGGGUGAUGCCGUGCACAUUUUUAUUAUAUAACUGCUUUCAUGAGGCUGAGAGUAAAAGCAUGAAGGGUGAUGCCGUGCAAUUGUUGAUUUCUUCUUCCUUGUUGAUAUUCUGGUUAUGUUGUUUCUUUCCUUACUUGAUGCCUUUCUAUUCAGAACUAUUAUCUCCCCCCCAACAUGUUUCCCCUUCCCACAUUGACUGGUUAUUUCUGUAUUUCUUUUCCGCUGUAUAUAUAUAUAUGAACUGCACAUGUUUAUUUGGUAGUCUGGUCCUAGCCUCGUCACUACUUCGCCGAGGUUAAGCUAGACACUUACCAACACAUGGGGUCGGUUGUGCUGAUACUACACUCUGCACUAUGUGUAAAUCUAGGAGCAGCUUUCGGACAAUAGUUGGAGGGCUUCCUUCAGUCCACUCGGAGACCUAAGGUGGAUCUGCAGGCGUCCGCAGG